GUUUUUAUACAUUUCACUCGUGAAAUUUUCAUCUCGCGGAGAAAUUAUUUCCUGAAGACGAUUAGAAGAGAUGGAAACAGAAAUAAAAAAUUUAUGGAGAAAUGCAAGUAAGUCUUUUACUCGGUGGUGUGAGAAGUAAUUACGAUGUGCGUGGUGGUGGGAAAUCGAAUAUUUAUUUCCGUUGGGGAUUAUAAUGGUUCAAAUCUUUAUAUAUAAAAGUAAGGUUGUGUGUCUGUCUCCUACGAUUUAGAUUCCUAACUACUCCCACAUUUUGCGGUGCAGUUUAACCAAAACCGGGUAUCUUAUAGUCGUGAUUCAUAUCGAGCCCUUCUGGAUAUUAGCGGGCUUCUACGAUGAGUCUACGAUUUAAACAAAAAUUUACCAUCAAUUUUUUUCCAUUUGAAUGCAUUUCUUUCGCUAUUAUAUAAGGGAAGUAACUCUCUAUAAAUGUCUACGAUUUUAAAAAUAAUUUACCAUAAUUUUUUUCCAUUUUAAUGCAUUUCUUCGCUAUUAUAUAAGGGAAGUAACUCUCUAAAAAUGUCUACGAUGAGUCAACGAUUUAAAAAGUUAUUUACCAUAAUUUUUUUCCAUUUUAAUGCAUUUCUUUCGCUAUUAUAUAAGGGAAGUAACUCUCUAAAAAUGUCUACGAUUUUAAAAAUAAUUUACCAUCAUUUUUUUCCAUUUUAAUGCAUUUUUUCCCUAUUAUAUAAGGGAAGUAACUCUCUAAAAAUGUCUACGAUUAGUCAACGAUUUUUAAAAAAAUUUACCAUCAUUUUUUUUCCAUUUUUAAUGCAUUUUUUUGCUACUUUCUGGCUAUAACUCUCUAAAAAUGCUUUAUAGUUAUUUCCCUUACAAACCCGAGCAACGCCGGGCGAUACUGCUAGUAUUAAAUAAUUCUGUUGUGUCUGGGGAGAGUCAUUCUCUUUUAGUGUCUUAUAUUUGAACACAUUCACUGGUAAAAUUUCCACUUGUUUCUGUUUUUGUUUUUCUAAAAUUUUAGUUGCGUCUUGCAAUCUUUUCAAGAGUUUUGAGUCAAAACUAUUUGAAAAGGUUGCGAGACGCAACGGAAAAAGAAAUAAGUGGAAAUUCUAGUGGCGAGUGUGUUAAAUUAUAAGGCAUUAAAAGAGAAUGCCAUGAUGGCGAUCUUUUGUCUCUAGUAGACCUUUCCGUCGAUUUCCGUAAAAAACAUUUUUUUGUUUUACAUAUGGGCUUGCGGGAACUUUUGAAGUAAUGAGAGCGAAAGAGACUAAGAGAAAGCGAUUGUAUGACGAGGGAAGUUCUUUUGAAGUUACCGUGCAUGGGAAGCAUUGAUGUACAUGUGUGUGUGUGUGUGUUUGAUGGGGUGUGGGAGACAGACAGUAUGUUGUGUAAGUGAAGUGCUUCUGUUAGUGUGUGUGAAGAGACAGAGAGAGUAAUGUGUCUCUUUCGCUCUCAUUACUUCAAAAAUUCCCGCAAGCCCAUAUGUAAAAAAAAAAAAUUUUUUUACAGAAAUCGACGGAAAGGUCUACUAGAGACGAAAGAUCGCUGAAUAAUGCUUCAACACACGAACUCACAUAAAGAAUCUUGCAAACCAAAUCCCAAAACGAAAUUAAAUAAUUCAUCUGUAUGAAAAAUGCUAUGUUAACGUCUUUAAUGAGUGAGACAGUCGAAGGUUAUUAAGAAAGAAGGCAUUAAAAAAGGCUGCGAGCUAGCAGAAACGUUAGCACGCCGGGUGAAAUGCUUAGCGGUAUUUCGUCUGUCGUUACGUUUUGAGUACAAAUUCCGCCGAGGUCGACUUUGCCUUUCAUCCUUUCGGGAUCGAUAAAUUAAGUACCAGUUACGCACUGGGGUCGAUAUAAUCGACUUAAUCCGUUUGUUGUCCUUGUUUGUCCCCUCUGUGUUUAGCCCCUAGUGGGUAAUAAAGAAAUAGGUAUUUCGUUUGUCGUUACGUUCUAAGUUCAAAUUCCGCCGAGGUUGACUUUGCCUUUCAUCCUUUCGGUGUCGAUAAAUUAAGUACCAGUUACGCACUGUGGUCGAUAUAAUCGACUUAAUCCGUUUGUCUGUCCCCUCUGUGUUUAGCCCCUUGUGGGUAGUAAAGAAAUAGGUAUUUCGUCUGCCGUUACGUUCUCAGUUCAAAUUCCACCGAGGUAGACUUUGCCUUUCAUCCUUUGGGGGUCGAUUAAAUAAGUAUCAAUUACGCACUGGGGUCGAUAUAAUCAACUUAAUCCGUUUGUCUGUCCUUGUUUGUCCCCUCUGUGUAUAGCCCCUUGUGGGCAGUAAAGAAAUAAGAAAGAAGGCAUUCCUUCGAUAUAGUUCAAAUUCCGCCGAGGUCGACUUUGCCUUUCAUCCUUUCGGGGUCGAUAAAUUAAGUACCAGUUACGCACUGGGUCGAUAUAAUCGGUUAAUCCGUUUGUCUGCCCUUGUUUGUCCCCUCUGUGUUUAGCCCCUGUGGGUAGUAAAGAAAUAGGUAUUUCGUCUGCCAUUACGUUCUGAGUUCAAAUUCCGUCGAGGUUGACUUUGCCUUUCAUCUUUUCGGGGUCGAUUAAAUAAGUACCAGUUACGCACUGGGGUCGAUAUAAUCGACUUAAUCCCUUUGUUUGUCCCCUCUGUGUAUAGCCCCUUGUGGGUAGUAAAGAAAUAAGAAAGAAGGCAUUCCUUCGAUAUAACUCGACAAAACCAAAACCUUUCACUUCGGGUGUUUCCGUGGGUUGUGGAGUGUAGAUAUAACGAAAUUAUGCCAGGUUUAUCAGUAUUAAAAUGUGUUAUCCUCUAUAUCUUAUACUGUUUCUUUAUUCUUUCAGAUCUCCAGGUGACAUUGGUGUAAAAGAACCAUUUACGUCAGAUCCAUUGUCAAUAUUCGUCAUGUCUUAAAGACCAAAGGAAGAUGUCCUGUGAAAUGUGGAAGAUAAAUAUAAUCCUGUUUAUAUAAAUGGGAAAAUUAAUGUGAAACAUUUUCUCUAAACUAAGAUAAACAUUGGCUUCAAUACCUGGGAUGUGUUCAAAAAAGUUUUUGUAUAUUAAUUAUAUUAAUUAUGUUCAGAAAUUUUACAAAUUCAUAUGCGUCGUCUUCAAAUAUUGGCAACAACCACAGUUGCUGGGAAUGUAGAAAUAAUGACCAAGAUGUUUGGCUAUUUGCCGUGCCUGAGAAGACAUGUUAAUCCAAGAAAAAUCAUAAACAUGCCCACUGUUGGUGACCUGUAAAACGAACCCAGUACACUGGUUAAUAAUUUUAUGGGUGCAUUCACAAGAUUUCAAAAGGAGAGUGGGUGCUAAACCGCAGAAAUUGUAUUCAUCUCAAUAGACGUCAUUGAUUGGUUGAAAUUGCCGAAAUGCAAGAAAUUUAACAGCAAAUGCUUACAAACUACAGAAUUUUCUCAAGAAAGCCAAGAGAAAAAGAAAGACAUCCAACCAUAGAGACCAAGCAAAAACAGACUUCAGUCCAGAGUAGCUCUCCAGCAUACCAGCUCCUAGUGAAACUGUCUGUCUCGUGCCAGCAUGGAAAAUGGAUGUUAAAUGAUGAUGGUA
rnacentral:lncRNA from 1 species